GGUUUUUAGCCUGGCAGAGCCAUCCUGAAGAGGAAGAGCUGAAGAAACCUAUUUUGAAUUGGAAAAGAAAAACUCAGUGUAUUGUGAGCCUCUCAUACCAUGAUGAUCCAGGAUUCCAGCUUCUUUGGGGAAGAUUCACAGGGAGUUUAACCGAAUGUAAGGUGGAAGUGAGGUGACUAAAGCAGAGAGUCACAUGACUCUCAGAUAUCAUCACAUUGGUUUUCGCCUACAGCCUGGGAGAUACACUGGGGAUACUGUAGCCGUCUGAUUAUGAGCCUGAAGAUGAAGGUAAUACACAGAGAUGUUUACUACUUCCUCUUCCUCUUCAAGAAUCACAGAGCAGUGGAGUUGAAGCCACUGAAUUAAGUAAAUCCUAAAACCCGCACGACCUAUGGACUU